UGGAGCCCUCACCGCUCCGAACCGGCACCGCUCCAGCCCAAACGCGCCUGCUUCGCUCGGCUGUCCUCGGUGAAGGUAGCCCUUCUUACAGAAAAUAGCGUGAGGACAUGAUGCCCAGGGCAUCUUGCCUGAGGCCAAAUCUAUUCCUUCAUCUAUGAGAUAAGAAACUUCAGUGUCCUAGUGUGUAUGGAAAAUGGUUUGGCUCCUCCUGUGUCCUUCCACAGAAAACAUUUUGUGCGUUCACAGCUCGCCCCGGCGUGAAGCUGCAAGAUAUAAAGAGUGAAGAGUAAACAUAACAACAGGGAUUUCAAAGCAGUCUGAUACCAGGUGAUCUUUCCUUUUGCAAGCAACCAAACCUAAGAUUCUGUUCAUGGCCCUUGGCUGCUGUGCCAGCUUUCAGCGUUGUGUUAGCUUAGUGCAGAACCUGCCUUCCCCAGUGCUGGAGUUCCUGACAAUUCUCCCCUUGCAGACCUCGCCCUGCAGGUGCUGGGGACAAUCCAGGCUGAACUGCCCAACAGGGGCACCCCACAGCAGCUCAGCCCAGGAAACCCCAUGGUAUGUCAAUAUUAGAUGAUGGCUGUGUGGAAAAGGAGGAGAAAGGAGGAAGUGUGGCUAGCUGGCAAAGCAGACAGCCACACUUCAGGCCAUUGUUCUGGUUCUGCAGGCACAAAGCACCUGUCAGGACCAAGUCCUUCACAAGUGACUUGAACAUUUAUUAUAGUAAUAUAUUUAUCUAUAUAGUUAUAUUAUUAUAUAUUAUAGUUACAUAUUUAUUAUUAGCAAGCACUCAGUACAGAUAAUUAUUUCUGCUCCUCUUUCAGCAUGUACCUCUAGAUUGUGAGGCAGUGCAUUCCCACAGCAUCAACACAGCAGUAAAGAUGAUUACAUGCAUCUCUCCCUUCAUGCUGAACUCCCCGUUUCAUCUCUGUUUUGUUAAAUACAGCCUUUGAUUACUGAAAAAAGUAAUUAUCAAACGUGUCACAGGCAUGCUAAAAAUAAUUUUUCCAGCACACAGUAGCUGAGUAGGUAGGUUAAUUUGCCUAGGCAAGAUCUCUCCAGCUUUUUAUCUUGAGCUGUCAUUUGAAAUGCAUGUUUUCAUCACUUCUAUUGUAGGUUUCACCUGAAGAAUUGUCUCACUGUUGCAAUUAUAAUAAAGUUAGAAAUAAAGCUUUGUACAUCCUUAA